rnacentral:tRNA from 1 species
CGGAGCAUGGCUCAGCUUGGUAGAGCGCCUGGUUCGGGACCAGGAGGUCGUGGGUUCGAAUCCCGCUGCUCCGA